UCUUGCCAGUAUUUUGUCUCGGUUGCCCUGCAAUAUUGGGUCAAAUCUCAUUUUCAUUGGGGAGUUGUUCCUUUCUCUAGCAUCUGUUAUGGGACACUCAUCCUUUUGCUAAUCUUUUCUCCAUCUAUUCAUACUAAACCAACAAUACUAGGAUCAUGUCAUUCAACAAACAAACCUUUGGCUGGUACUGUAUAUUUGAGAACUAAUAAAUUUGGUUAAACUAGAAGGCAUUACCUUUAAAGCCAAAGAGUUUGAAUCUUUAUGCACAGUUGAUUUUCUUUUUCCAGAAGGUGAAGAAGAUCAAGAAGAUGAUGAAGAAGAUCAACUUGAGAUAGAAUUUUGAAUUGUUAUAGAUGAAUGUUUUAGGAAUCUUUUGUUAUCAAUAUUUUUGGAACUUACUUACUCUCUUGAAAUGUACUAAACUUAUGCACUUGGGUAGAACAUUUGCUUUAUGGAUAAUUUUAUAUUAUUA